AUUGAACGCUGGCGGCAGGCCUAACACAUGCAAGUCGAGCGGAUGAAGGGAGCUUGCUCCUGGAUUCAGCGGCGGACGGGUGAGUAAUGCCUAGGAAUCUGCCUGGUAGUGGGGGAUAACGUCCGGAAACGGGCGCUAAUACCGCAUACGUCCUGAGGGAGAAAGUGGGGGAUCUUCGGACCUCACGCUAUCAGAUGAGCCUAGGUCGGAUUAGCUAGUUGGUGGGGUAAAGGCCUACCAAGGCGACGAUCCGUAACUGGUCUGAGAGGAUGAUCAGUCACACUGGAACUGAGACACGGUCCAGACUCCGACGGGGGGCAGCAGUGGGGAAUAUUGGACAAUGGGCGGAAGCUUGAUCCAGCCAUGCCGCGUGGGUGAAGAAGGUCUUCGGAUUGUAAAGCACUUUAAGUUGGGAGGAAGGGCAGUAAGUUAAGACCUUGCUGUUUUGACGUUACCAACAGAAUAAGCACCGGCUAACUUCGU
rnacentral:rRNA from 1 species